GGGUUUCUAAAUCCUCGUUCUUUCGGAUUAGAAGUACUCCCACCACUGCUACGAAUAAUAGAGUUUUGCAGAAGAAGUUGCCCAUUUGGUCGACGAGACCUACCCCGGUCAAGCUGUCCACCAGAUAAGCCAUGAAGAACCCUAUCAUUGCGGCACGGCCUGCAUUAAACUCGUUAAGCACAAUAAACUGGAUCAGUACAAGGCCAGCAAGUAACUGUUCUCCUUAAAAUUUCAGAAGGGAUGCGAACAAACCAUUGAGUAGUUCAGCUUCAGGAAGAUGGAACCUCUUUAUCCAUGCCCACCAAGGUAUGAUAGAAGUGUCAAAAACUACAGGAUCAUCAUUACUGGAUGACUCUGGGUUGUCUUCAAGCCAUUUUCUCCUCCUAACCUCUGGAAAAGGGAUUAGCCAAGGAGGUUCAUUAGAAACCAAGAAAGCGCUGAAGAUUAUCAGGAGCAAGAACAAGUUAAUUACAAAAAAGAUGAUUAUAUUGAGUUCCCAUUUUCUAAACCACCAAUUCUUCAUUGCCAAAAGAAGAAAUUAAUGGAAAUGGGAAAAGGAAAAUUGAACAUGAAUGCUUAUGGAAAUGCCUUUAUCUCAAGCAUGUCACGAAAAACCGAGAGCAAAAGAGACUCUCUCUAGACAUACAUAUACACACAUCUGAAAAUGCCACUGGUGCAAUGGGAAUAUUGCACUACCAUGGGAAUUCUACUGCCUGUGAAAGAUAUUAAUCAGACAAAGAAAUACUUGGUGCAUCUCUAUCUCCAUAUUAGAACAAACAAUGAACUCAUUUUAUGACUGCUAAAUGCAAUGGAAUUAUUAAAUUACUUCAGGAUAUUCUAUUGCCCUUGAAAGCAUUUGAGAAGAUGCCCCCAAUUAUUCCAAUCAGUUACAAACUUCUUAGCAUCUAACACCUUUUCUAAGUCUUCUCGGUUAUCAAAUGUAGCAUUGCAGUUUUGGAGAGGAGGUGGGGAGUGCUGUUGGAGCGGAAGAGAACAAAUCCUAUCCUGAGGUCGUAAUCUUAGAAAUAAAAACAUUUUUGAUCAAAUUUGAAAACUAAUAUUAUGAAUACUUAAUCCCUUGAACCAUUAGGGGAUAUGCACAACAAUUUCAAUCACCAUCAGUGGAGAAUCUAAUACAGCCCUAUAUCCAUAUCAAUAGAACCACCUAACAGUGACAACCUAAAAGCUGCAAGAGCCAUUAGUGUAUCAAUCCCUCCCCAGCAAGCCAGCCUUUAUCUAUCUUAAUAACUCUUAAUAGCCCAAUGUUAAGAAAAACCUUAUCAAAAUCCUCUCAAAGCCAUCAUCACUGGCGUGAUAGCUGGCUGUUCAGAGGAGUUCAAUAACUCAUAAGUUAUCAAAAAAUAGAAAAUAUGAGGAAGCCAUCUUCUUAGUGCAACAAUAAAUUCUGUACUCCCCGAUUUACUACUUUGCAAUAGUGAUGACACCAAGACAUACAUCUCAAUCAUUUGCCAUGUUGCUUGGAAGUGGGGUGUAGGGUAUGGGUACAUGUCUAGGAAACAUAUUCUUUUAUCUUUAUCUUUAUCUUUUCUUCUUUACCCCUAAAUAUUCUCAAGUAAUAAUUUGUUAAGGAAAUUAAAAAUGAAAAAUAAAAAUAAAUGAAUUGUAAUCAAGCAAUCAUAUCGCAAAGUAGAAGUAUUUGACAAGGAUCUCACACCCAUGUCGUGUCAUGUAUGGUGUCAACAAGGGUGCGCUAGGUGAAGUUGGAGAUUCCAGGUACCAUAGAUCACUAGAAACAUGGAUCACCGAUUGGCCUGCUGAAAUAGGCCAUUCACCUAGAGAAUCCCAACUCAAAUAACUUAAACCUUGCACAGUAAUUUGUGCUUGACUACAAGAACCAUGUCUGAUCAUUUCCUUCAUCUUGAGCAUUGCAUUCUAUUACAUAGCAGGCCACUGGUUUUUUGCCUCAAUGCCUAAACCCACAUCCAUUUUCCCUUCUCUUGCCUCUUGUUCUUGCAACAACAUAGGCAGAUUAUGUUAUUCCCCAAAAUUUUCUGGGGCAUGCCCAUGCUCACUUUUCCAAGUGGUUGCCUAAUUUCUCUCGGAUAAUUGGGGGAUAAUGACCUAAAUAAUGAACUGAUAUUAUAUAGGAUUGAAAACUGAAUAGCAAAAAUAUAAAUUAUUUACUUCAUAUGGAUAAUUUGUUGAUCUUGAUGACAAAAACUUCCAUAUUACAAUAAAAACCCCAUUUUAUUGGUCAAGAAUUUGGUAUGUAAAAAUAAUAAUACUGAUAAUAUUUUGGAUUUUACCAUUUUUGUGGUAUUGGGUUUCCAAAAAAAUUACAAAUAAAUCACAAUAACCUAGCCAAAUAAUUGUGUUAUGGAUGUUCGAACUGGGGAUUUUCCUUUCAAAGGUCUGAGAUACUUAAAAAGAAAACAGUCGAAACCCCAAUUUCUUUUCUUUUCCCAAAUUUUCUGAGCAACCAAGCAACAGGAAUCAGAAAAGUAUCACCAUAUUCAAGAAGAUAAGAAGAGGCAAUAAUAAAUCUCACCAGCAUCAAUAACAGCAUCCCAGUUGGUCUUCCCAUCAGUCUCAAACUGCUUCAAAUCCCAGGUCCCUCCAACCCAUUUGAGGUCCUCAAAUUUAGUCACCAGUACCACAUCCCCAGCAGCAGCAGCCCCAUUAGGCUGUGAAUCCAAAACAGCAGCCUCUGGGGCCUUCUCCUCUGCCUUUUCAGGCUCCACAGUGGUGGCAGAGGUUGAAGUCCCGGCACCAUUUUCUGUGGCCUUUGCGGACAGAAGCAAGAGUUGGUGCUUCUUGGAUCUCAGAAAGAGACUUGGCUUGAGCGUGAAAUUGGGUUUGGGUGAGAGGGUUGGAAGGUGGGUUGGAAUGGGAGGGGAAAACAAGGCCAUUGACAUGGUGGUGAGCUUGAUGGGGGGUCUGGUUUGGAAAGAAGGUUCAGAAGAACAUGGCUGAGUUUGACUCUUAAAAAAGAGUGAGAGUGAUCCUCCACCUCAGAUAUGGCUUCUC
rnacentral:lncRNA from 1 species